UACGUAGGUGGCAAGCGUUGUCCGGAUUUACUGGGCGUAAAGGGAGCGUAGGCGGACUUUUAAGUGAGAUGUGAAAUACCCGGGCUCAACUUGGGUGCUGCAUUUCAAACUGGAAGUCUAGGGUGCAGGAGAGGAGAAUGGAAUUCCUAGUGUAGCGGUGAAAUGCGUAGAUAUUAGGAAGAACACCAGUGGCGAAGGCGGCUUUCUGGCCUGUAACUGACGCUGAGACGCGAAAGCCAGGGUAGCGAACGGGAUUAGAUACCCGUGUAGUCCCUGA
rnacentral:rRNA from 1 species